AGCGGGGGAAGGUAGCUUGCUACCGGACCUAGCGGCGGACGGGUGAGUAAUGCUUAGGAAUCUGCCUAUUAGUGGGGGACAACAUCUCGAAAGGGAUGCUAAUACCGCAUACGUCCUACGGGAGAAAGCAGGGGAUCUUCGGACCUUGCGCUAAUAGAUGAGCCUAAGUCGGAUUAGCUAGUUGGUGGGGUAAAGGCCUACCAAGGCGACGAUCUGUAGCGGGUCUGAGAGGAUGAUCCGCCACACUGGGACUGAGACACGGCCCAGACUCCUACGGGAGGCAGCAGUGGGGAAUAUUGGACAAUGGGGGGAACCCUGAUCCAGCCAUGCCGCGUGUGUGAAGAAGGCCUUAUGGUUGUAAAGCACUUUAAGCGAGGAGGAGGCUACUUUAGUUAAUACCUAGAGAUAGUGGACGUUACUCGCAGAAUAAGCACCGGCUAACUCUGUGCCAGCAGCCGCGGUAAUACAGAGGGUGCGAGCGUUAAUCGGAUUUACUGGGCGUAAAGCGUGCGUAGGCGGCUUAUUAAGUCGGAUGUGAAAUCCCCGAGCUUAACUUGGGAAUUGCAUUCGAUACUGGUGAGCUAGAGUAUGGGAGAGGAUGGUAGAAUUACACCGUGUGGGGCCCGAAAUGCCUGGGAAAUCUUUGUUAAAGGGACGGGGAACCACGGGGGGUGUCUUCAUCCGUGUUAAGCCCCCCGGACGCUUUUAGUACCAAAAGGCGUGGGUUAAAAGGGCCAGAAAGGGCCCCCCCCGCGGUCUUUUGUGUUGUGCCCCACAAAAAUUUUUUUCCCCCCAUUUUUCGGGGGGCGCCCCCCCGGGGGGUUUUUUUUUUCGGGGGCCCCUCCUUCCAAAAACCCGUGUUUGGAUUUAAACCCCGUUGGGGGGGGGGAGGGGUUUCCUCCCCAAAGAAAAAGCACGCCGGGGGGGGUGAUUUUUUUUACGGCCCGCAGGAAGGGUAAGACCCCCGCCCCACCCCCGCCAAGGCCAAGGGAAGCUGUUUG
rnacentral:rRNA from 1 species